CCUACGUGGUGCAGCAGUGAGGAAUAUUGGUCAAUGGACGAGAGUCUGAACCAGCCAAGCAGCGUGAAGGAUGACUGUCCUAUGGGUUGUAAACUUCUUUUAUCUGGGAAUAAAAUGUUCCACGUGUGGGAUUUUGUAUGUACCAUAUGAAUAAGGAUCGGCUAACUCCGUGCCAGCAGCCGCGGUAAUACGGAGGAUCCGAGCGUUAUCCGGAUUUAUUGGGUUUAAAGGGAGCGUAGGUGGAUUGUUAAGUCAGGUGUGAAAGUGUGCGGCUCAACCGUAAAAUUGCAGUUGAAACUGGCAGUCUUGAGUACAGGAGAGGUGGGCGGAAUGCGUGGUGUAGCGGUGAAAUGCUUAGAUAUCACGAAGAACUCCGAUUGCGAAGGCAGUUCACUGGACUGCAACUGACACUGAGGCUCGAAAGUGUGGGUAUCAAACAGGAUUAGAUACCCGUGUAGUC
rnacentral:rRNA from 1 species